GAGUUUGAUCCUGGCUCAGAUUGAACGCUGGCGGCAUGCCUUACACAUGCAAGUCGAACGGCAGCACGGGAGCUUGCUCCUGGUGGCGAGUGGCGAACGGGCGAGUAAUGCAUCGGAACGUAUCCUGGAGUGGGGGAUAACGUAGCGAAAGUUACGCUAAUACCGCAUAUUCUGUGAGCAGGAAAGCGGGGGACCUUCGGGCCUCGCGCUCUUGGAGCGGCCGAUGUCGGAUUAGCUAGUUGGUGAGGUAAAGGCUCACCAAGGCGACGAUCCGUAGCAGGUCUGAGAGGAUGAUCUGCCACACUGGAACUGAGACACGGUCCAGACUCCUACGGGAGGCAGCAGUGGGAGUUUUGGACAAUGGGGGCAACCCUGAUCCAGCCAUGCCGCGUGAGUGAAGAAGGCCUUC
rnacentral:rRNA from 1 species